GAGCAGCGGCGGCAGAGACAGGGCUGGGCGGGCGCCGCCUGCGGAGAGCACCGGGAGGCGGGCCCUGCGUGGGGCCGCGCGCAGCAGCGGCGACGACUUUAUCUGGGCCGCGGGGGACAGCGCAGGGCCAUGGAGGAGGCGGCCGCAGCUCCGAUUUCUCCGUGGACGAUGGCAGCCACGAUUCAGGCCAUGGAGAGGAAGAUUGAAUCGCAGGCUGCUCACCUGCUUUCCCUAGAAGGUCAAACCGGGAUGGCCGAGAAGAAGCUGGCUGAUUGCGAGAAGACAGCCGUGGAGUUCGGGAACCAGCUGGAGGGCAAGUGGGCCGUGCUGGGGACCCUGCUGCAGGAGUACGGGCUGCUGCAGAGGCGGCUGGAGAACGUGGAGAACCUGCUGCACAACAGGAACUUCUGGAUCCUGCGGCUGCCCCCGGGCAGCAAGGGGGAGUCCCCUAAGGUGCCUAUGACAUUUGAUGAUGUGGCUGUGUAGUUCUCUGAGCAAGUGUGGGGCAAGCUGGAGGACUGGCAGAAGGAGCUCUGCAAGCACGUGAUGAGGGGCAACUGCGAGAUGCUGGUCUCUUUGGACUACGCCAUCUCCAAGUCCGAGGUCCUCUCCCAGAUUGAACAAGGGAAGGAGCCCUGCAACUGGCGCCGCCCUGACCCCAAGAUUCCAGAUGUUCCUGUGGACCCCAGUCCAGGUAAGGGCUGGGAGAAGGCCAGGGAGGCAUCAGGUAUUUUGUGGGAAACAGAGAUGGAAAGGCCAGGAAGGGUGUGAUCUUUCCAGAGAGAGUCGAGGAGAAACAUGAAACUUACAGGUUUUAUGUCUUGAAUUUUUUAUAGUUGAGUUUUAAUCUCUAACUUAGUCAGCUAAUGCUCCAGAAACGAACACUUUCUAUCAGGGAAACAGGUGACAAACCUAUUCUUUUAGGAAGAGACAAAGGCAGGGCACAGGUUGAGGGGAGGGAGAGGAGGACACUGAGAGGGAAGGCAGGAGCAUAGUGGACCCUUGAACAACACAGGGGCCAGGGGCGCCAGCCCCCAGUCCCACGCAGCUGAAGAUCUACGUCUAACUUUUGACUCUCCAGAAAGUUAACAGAUAGUCUCCUAUUGACCAGAAGCCUUGAUACUAUGAACAGGGAAUAACACAUAUUUUGUAUGCUCUAUAUGUUAUGUAUAGUAUAUUUACAGUAAGCUAGAGAAAAAAUGUUAUUGGGAAAA
ensembl:lncRNA ZNF767P zinc finger family member 767, pseudogene